rnacentral:rRNA from 1 species
GUGAACGCUGGCGGUAGACCUAACACAUGCAAGUCGAACGGCAGCACCGUAAGAGCUUGCUCUUACGGGUGGCGAGUGGCGGACGGGUGGGGAAUACAUCGGAAUCUACUUUUUCGUGGGGGAUAACGUAGGGAAACUUACGCUAAUACCGCAUACGACCUACGGGUGAAAGCAGGGGAUCUUCGGACCUUGCGCGAUUGAAUGAGCCGAUGUCGGAUUAGCUAGUUGGCGGGGUAAAGGCCCACCAAGGCGACGAUCCGUAGCUGGUCUGAGAGGAUGAUCAGCCACACUGGAACUGAGACACGGUCCAGACUCCUACGGGAGGCAGCAGUGGGGAAUAUUGGACAAUGGGCGCAAGCCUGAUCCAGCCAUACCGCGUGGGUGAAGAAGGCCUUCGGGUUGUAAAGCCCUUUUGUUGGGAAAGAAAAGCAGCAGGUUAAUACCCCGCUGUUCUGACGGUACCCAAAGAAUAAGCACCGGCUAACUUCGUG